AUUGAACGCUGGCGGCAGGCCUAACACAUGCAAGUCGAACGAGUGGCGGACGGGUGAGUAAUGUCUGGGAAACUGCCCGAUGGAGGGGGAUAACUACUGGAAACGGUAGCUAAUACCGCAUACCAUCGGAUGUGCCCAGAUGGGAUUAGCUAGUCGGGGGGGUAAUGGCUCACCUAGGCGACGAUCCCUAGCUGGUCUGAGAGGAUGACCAGCCACACUGGAACUGAGACACGGUCCAGACUCCUACGGGAGGCAGCAGUGGGGAAUAUUGCACAAUGGGCGCAAGCCUGAUACAGCCAUGCCGCGUGUAUGAAGAAGGCCUUCGGGUUGUAAAGUACUGUCAGCGAGGAGGCGUUACUCGAAGAGGAAGCAACGGCUAACUCCGUGCCAGCCGCCGCGGUAAUGC
rnacentral:rRNA from 1 species